rfam:Brassica oleracea var. oleracea cultivar TO1000 chromosome C4, whole genome shotgun sequence
AUACCUUUCUCGGCCUUUUGGCUAAGAUCAAGUGUAGUAUGUGUUCUUAUCAGUUUAAUAUCUGAUAUGUGGGCUAUCUGUCCACAAGAUAUUAACUCUAUUUUUCAAGGGAGAAAGUCCGUAAAGAUAGCUUGCUAUCUGGGUUUUAAUGAGUCGCCUUUGCGUUGCACUAUUGCAUGGGCUGGUUUAACCCGC